rnacentral:misc_RNA from 1 species
ACAGACAGACAGACAGCAGUGUUCCCUGUCCAGGCCAACCUGGAGGACCCACCUGGGGUGAAUUUCCUUCACUUAGUCUUUGCUGCCGCGGCUCGACUACCCGUCAGCCACUGUUGCUAGUGAAAGUAAACACCCAUACGGGCUACACCAAGGGCACCCUGUUGAUUCAGAGCUCGUAAAACCCAGGAGCCCCAAGCCACUUUAUGACGUGCCAGAAUCCAGGGGCAGGAGCAAAGCCUGGGGAAAUCUCCCGGCUUCGAGGGCCACCGCGAUGCUUCAGCAGGAGCAGAGGGGCUGGCCUCCGCCCACAGGUGAGAUGUGGGCCGUGGGCUUAGCUUUAAGCUGCUGACCCGCAGCGGCUUGCUUAGACCACUCUGGGGCUUGGGGGCUUGGGGGGCUGGCCCCGCUGAUGGUUGAAGAGCCAAACGGGACUUGGUGGGGGCCGUCGGGGGUGGUGGUGCAGGCCUGAGAGGCCCAGUGGGCUUGCGGGGAGCCCUGCCUCUGUGACGGUGUCACCCCAGUGAGUAGCCCUCAGAGAGGGAGAAGGAAGUGGACCCCGGGAGGGCACUUUUGGUUGCUGUUUGCCUCUCCUCAAUUUCCUCUUUCAGAGGCUAAUUGGGAUUCGUUUGCUUUGCUUCUGGGCUCUCUGAGGGUGCAGGGCCUCCCCUGGAGGAGGUCCCCUGGUCCUCAGGUGGCCUUUUAAGUGUGGGGCUUGGCUCUCAAGCAGAGCAUGUGCAACAAGUCACCUGAAAAGAUUGUAAGAAUGCAAAUGUCCAGCCUCCUCCAAGAGACGGCGGGGCCCAGGGUUAGGGGCGUGGCCUGGGUGGCUGCAUUUUUAUUAAGCGCCUCCCCCAACCAGGUGACCUGGGAACCCCACUUUGAAAAAUGCUGGGGCUCAGGGCCAAGACACCUGGGUUUGGGGUCGGGAUCCAGCAGGAACCGCGCCGAUGAGCGCGGUACUGCGUGUAAACACGCGGACACAGUCGCAGGUAUCGGUUGACACAGGGCAACCGCCCCAGGAACUGCAGCGCAUCCUGUUGUUUGCUUUCCCAGCCGGGAUUUAUUAAAUCAAAUAUGCUUUCUGUGAAUUCUCCCAUUUAACCCUCAAACAGCCUGUGGCAUGCGUCUGCCGAUGGCCCCGUUUUUCCGAUUUGGCAAAGUGAGGUUUCGAGUCGGGAAGCCCCCUAAAGGGUCACCUGGUGGGGACUUGAGCUGAGACCGAGGACGGUCCCACGCGGCAGCCUCACCCGGGCAGGGGCUGCCCCUCCAUGGAGCCGAGUUCUGAGCAUGUCUGUCUGUCUGU